rnacentral:rRNA from 1 species
GACGUAGUGCGCGAGCGUUGUCCGGAUUUAUUGGGCGUAAAGAGCUCGUAGGCGGCUUGUCGCGUCGACUGUGAAAUCCCGCGGCUCAACUGCGGGUCUGCAGUCGAUACGGGCAGGCUAGAGUUCGGUAGGGGAGACUGGAAUUCCUGGUGUAGCGGUGAAAUGCGCAGAUAUCAGGAGGAACACCGAUGGCGAAGGCAGGUCUCUGGGCCGAUACUGACGCUGAGGAGCGAAAGCGUGGGGAGCGAACAGG